rnacentral:rRNA from 1 species
AAUGGGCGCAAGCCUGAUGCAGCCAUGCCGCGUGUGUGAUGAAGGCCUUAGGGUUGUAAAACACUUUCAUCGGUGAAGAUAAUGACGGUAGCCGAAGAAGAAGCCCCGGCUAACUCCGUGCCAGCAGCCGCGGUAAUACGGAGGGGGCAAGCGUUGUUCGGAAUUACUGGGCGUAAAGCGCACGUAGGCGGACUGAUCAGUUGGGGGUGAAAUCCCGAGGCUUAACCUCGGAACUGCCUUCAAUACUGCCAGUCUUGAGAUCGGAAGAGGUGAGUGGAAUUCCUAGUGUAGAGGUGAAAUUCGUAGAUAUUAGGAAGAACACCAGUGGCGAAGGCGGCUCACUGGUCCGAUACUGACGCUGAGGUGCGAAAGCGUGGGGAGCGAACAGGAUU